AAGACCUUGCACUUUUGGAGCGGCCGAUGUCUGAUUAGCUAGUUGGUGGGGUAAUGGCCUACCAAAGCUUCGAUCAGUAGCUGGUCUGAGAGGACGGCCAGCCACACUGGGACUGAGACACGGCCCAGACUCCUACGGGAGGCAGCAGUGGGGAAUUUUGGACAAUGGGCGCAAGCCUGAUCCAGCCAUGCCGCGUGAGUGGAGAAGGCCUUCGGGUUGUAAAGCUCUUUCAGCCGGGAAGAAAAGGUUGCGACUAAUAAUCGCAAUCCAUGACGGUACCGAAAGAAGAAGCACCGGCUAACUACGUGCCAGCAGCCGCGGUAAUACGUAGGGUGCGAGCGUUAAUCGGAAUUACUGGGCGUAAAGGGUGCGCAGGCGGUUUUGUAAGUCAGAUGUGAAAUCCCCGGGCUUAACCUGGGAACU
rnacentral:rRNA from 1 species